CUCCCAGCUAUGUCUCCCUCCUGUUUCUCAUUCCCCAAUUACCUCCCUGUGUAUAUAAGCCCUGUGUGUUCCCGUGCUCUCUGUCGUGUCAUACCCUCAGAUUAUGCCUGUGUGUUUUUGGUUUCAGUAUUCACUUCAUGUUUUGUUUACAUGCCAGCAAUAAAGCUGAGGUUUUGAGUUACAAUUCUGUGUUCGAGUCCUGCAUUUGGAUCCUCAUCUCCACCUGCCUGCAGACAGAGCCCUGACAAGAAAUGUAUACAUACUGUGCCAGCAUGCUGAGGUUUUACCAUAUUACUCAAAAAUUACAGUUCAUUGGGAGCUGCUGCUCAGAAUCUCAUUGAAUCAGCAGGAUUAUAAGCCCAAACACAGCUCAAAGCUCUGAUGAAGAGAAGAAGUUUCCAAAUGAGCCACUGUGUUCAUCUGGUUUGAAUUCCAGGAGCUCUUAGGACAUAAGACACCUUUGUUCUUGCAGCUAUUUUUCAGGCUGUUGAGAGCUGCAGGCAGUAACUGAAUUAUCUAUUGUAGCAUUGUCUAGUGACACAUUUGUCCAAAAAAACAAUCCAGAAACAUCAAUGCACUGUAUUCACAAUUCCAUCAUGCAGGUGCUGUAAAAGACCUCACUAUGACCAGGAAUUUGGACCAUGUCAAUCUCUCACAUCUUUACACUGGUUUUCAUUGUAUCAGAAAAUCCCUGGCUUUAUUAACUUCACCUUAAGUAACUCAUCUGAUUAUCUACUAAUUACUAACCAUAACCUGAACCCUAUGUUGUUCUUCUUUGUUCUCUUUUGGAGUUAUUGACAGCUGAUCAUCUGCCUCCAUUUCACCUGCUUGCUUUCUUUUCUGUCACACCAACCCUAACCCAGUUCUUGACCGAUCCUCUAUGGAAAUUUCAUUCAUAAUGAUCUGCACGUUCGAUUUGACAAAGAUUUGACACCACAUGCCCUUACUGACACAACUCUUCCUGGACUUUGCUGCAGCACUGGGAGUACAUUGACCUGGUCCAAGGCAAAUUUUUGUUGGGGCUUCAUAUUGUCCUUGGAUCAUCCUACUCUCACUAAAAAUGAAUUUAAAUUAUGUCAUAAUUGAAUAUACAUUGUUUUAAUUGAAUGAAAAUGCAUUAGAUAUGACUAAAUUUAUUCAUUUUUGCUUCCCUUUAAAAUUGCAACAGAUGCUGACCUGAAGUUUAGAAAAAUACUCGCUGAGAAAUGGAUUAUCGUCAUCCCACUGGUGAAGGAGAUGUGGUUAAAAAUAGACGGGGAACAGAAGACAUGGUGGGAUGAUGCAAAAGGCUAUAAAUAGAGAUGCAGCUUGGAACUUAAAUGUUCCUGACAUUUCAACUUUAAUACAUGUACAGUGUGAGACCUGGGGAUGUCCUAAAAUUUACACCGUAUACAUGUCCAAAUGUAUGCAUUCCAAAUUCCUGAAGUAGCAGACCUUGGGACAUCACUCAAUGUGGCAAUGUAAACCAAGCAAACAAAAUGUCUCUUAUGCAAAAAAGUCGGUUCUGUCUCCUCUAUUUUGUGUACGUGGUCCAUUACUGACAUCUGUACUAAUUUCUGCACUGUACCCCAGGGCAUUUAAAGGAGACAAUUACAGCAAUGCCAUUCAACCUUGGUUCCAAUGUUCCCCAGUAGCUUUAAAGUACAAAUGUGGAGCCAGUGUUGCAAUGCUUUAACCCUUUAGCGUUCUGCUCAACCAAUUGGCAUAGUACA